AAAAAAGGUAAGCUACUAAGAGCGAAUGGUGGAUGCCUUGACUGGUAAAGGCGAUGAAGGACGUACUAGACUGCGAUAAGCUACGGGGAGUUGUCAAGAAGCCUUGAUCCGUAGAUUUCCGAAUGGGGCAACCCAAUGUAUAGAGAUAUACAUUACCUAUAUAGGAGCGAACGAGGGGAAUUGAAACAUCUUAGUACCCUCAGGAAAAGAAAUCAAUAGAGAUUGCGUCAGUAGCGGCGAGCGAAAGCGCAAGAGGGCAAACCCAGUGCUUGCACUGGGGGUUGUAGGACUGCAAUGUGCAAGAGGUGAGUUUAGCAGAACAUUCUGGAAAGUAUAGCCAUAGAGGGUGAUAGUCCCGUAUGCGAAAAACAAACCUUAGCUAGCAGUAUCCUGAGUAGGGCGGGACACGAGGAAUCCUGUCUGAAUCCGGGUCGACCACGAUCCAACCCUAAAUACUAAUACCAGAUCGAUAGUGCACAAGUACCGUGAGGGAAAGGUGAAAAGAACUGAGGUGAUCAGAGUGAAAUAGAACCUGAAACCAUUUGCUUACAAUCAUUCAGAGCCCUAUGUAGCAAUACAGGGUGAUGGACUGCCUUUUGCAUAAUGAGCCUGCGAGUUGUGGUGUCUGGCAAGGUUAAGCAAACGCGAAGCCGUAGCGAAAGCGAGUCUGAAUAGGGCGCUUAGUCAGAUGCUGCAGACCCGAAACGAAGUGAUCUAUCCAUGAGCAAGUUGAAGCUAGUGUAAGAACUAGUGGAGGACUGAACCCAUAGGCGUUGAAAAGCCCCGGGAUGACUUGUGGAUAGGGGUGAAAGGCCAAUCAAACUUCGUGAUAGCUGGUUCUCUCCGAAAUAUAUUUAGGUAUAGCGUUGUGUCGUAAUAUAAGGGGGUAGAGCACUGAAUGGGCUAGGGCAUACACCAAUGUACCAAACCCUAUCAAACUCCGAAUACCUUAUAUGUAAUCACAGCAGUCAGGCGGCGAGUGAUAAAAUCCGUCGUCAAGAGGGAAACAACCCAGACUACCAGCUAAGGUCCCUAAAUCUUACUUAAGUGGAAAACGAUGUGAAGUUACUUAAACAACCAGGAGGUUGGCUUAGAAGCAGCCAUCCUUUAAAGAAAGCGUAAUAGCUCACUGGUCUAGUGAUUUUGCGCGGAAAAUAUAACGGGGCUAAAGUAAGUACCGAAGCUGUAGACUUGACUUUGUCAAGUGGUAGGAGAGCGUUCUAUUUGCGUCGAAGGUAUACCGGUAAGGAGUGCUGGAGCGAAUAGAAGUGAGCAUGCAGGCAUGAGUAGCGAUAAUUAAUGUGAGAAUCAUUAACGCCGUAAACCCAAGGUUUCCUACGCAAUGCUCGUCAUCGUAGGGUUAGUCGGGUCCUAAGUCGAGUCCGAAAGGGGUAGACGAUGGCAAAUUGGUUAAUAUUCCAAUACCAACAUUAGUGUGCGAUGGAAGGACGCUUAGGGCUAAGGGGGCUAGCGGAUGGAAGUGCUAGUCUAAGGUCGUAGGAGGUUAUACAGGCAAAUCCGUAUAACAAUACUCCGAGAACUGAAAGGCUUUUUGAAGUCUUCGGAUGGAUAGAAGAACCCCUGAUGCCGUCGAGCCAAGAAAAGUUUCUAAGUUUAGCUAAUGUUGCCCGUACCGUAAACCGACACAGGUGGGUGGGAUGAGUAUUCUAAGGCGCGUGGAAGAACUCUCUUUAAGGAACUCUGCAAAAUAGCACCGUAUCUUCGGUAUAAGGUGUGGUUAGCUUCGUACUAGGAUUUGACUUCGAAAGCGAAGAAACUUACAACAAAGAGUCCCUCCCGACUGUUUACCAAAAACACAGCACUCUGCUAACUCGUAAGAGGAUGUAUAGGGUGUGACGCCUGCCCGGUGCUCGAAGGUUAAUUGAUGGGGUUAGCAUUAGCGAAGCUCUUGAUCGAAGCCCGAGUAAACGGCGGCCGUAACUAUAACGGUCCUAAGGUAGCGAAAUUCCUUGUCGGUUAAAUACCGACCUGCAUGAAUGGCGUAACGAGAUGGGAGCUGUCUCAAAGAGGGAUCCAGUGAAAUUGUAGUGGAGGUGAAAAUUCCUCCUACCCGCGGCAAGACGGAAAGACCCCGUGGACCUUUACUACAGCUUGACACUGCUACUUGGAUAAGAAUGUGCAGGAUAGGUGGGAGGCUUUGAGUAUAUGACGCCAGUUGUAUAUGAGCCAUUGUUGAGAUACCACUCUUUCUUAUUUGGGUAGCUAACCAGCUUGAGUUAUCCUCAAGUGGGACAAUGUCUGGUGGGUAGUUUGACUGGGGCGGUCGCCUCCCAAAUAAUAACGGAGGCUUACAAAGGUUGGCUCAGAACGGUUGGAAAUCGUUCGUAGAGUAUAAAGGUAUAAGCCAGCUUAACUGCAAGACAUACAAGUCAAGCAGAGACGAAAGUCGGUCUUAGUGAUCCGGUGGUUCUGUGUGGAAGGGCCAUCGCUCAAAGGAUAAAAGGUACCCCGGGGAUAACAGGCUGAUCUCCCCCAAGAGCUCACAUCGACGGGGAGGUUUGGCACCUCGAUGUCGGCUCAUCGCAUCCUGGGGCUGGAGCAGGUCCCAAGGGUAUGGCUGUUCGCCAUUUAAAGCGGUACGCGAGCUGGGUUCAGAACGUCGUGAGACAGUUCGGUCCCUAUCUGCCGUGGGCGUAAGAAGAUUGAAGAGAUUUGACCCUAGUACGAGAGGACCGGGUUGAACAAACCACUGGUGUAGCUGUUGUUCUGCCAAGAGCAUCGCAGCGUAGCUAAGUUUGGAAAGGAUAAACGCUGAAAGCAUCUAAGCGUGAAGCCAACUCUAAGAUGAAUCUUCUCUAAGCUCUCUAGAAGACUACUAGUUUGAUAGGCUGGGUGUGUAAUGGAUGAAAGUCCUUUAGCUGACCAGUACUAAUAGAGCGUUUGGCUUAUCUUUAAUAAAGCAU
rnacentral:rRNA from 1 species